AGUAGAGUCAGCUAAAGUAAGCUAUUGGGUUCAUACCCCAGAAAUAAACAUGUGUUUCUUUAUUA
rnacentral:tRNA from 1 species